rnacentral:rRNA from 1 species
AAACAUCGCCUCUUGUAAAUAUCAAAUAAGAGGCCCCGCCUGCCCUGUGACUAUAUGUUUAACGGCCGCGGUAUCUUGACCGUGCAAAGGUAGCGCAAUCAAUUGUCUUUUAAAUGGAGACCUGUAUGAAUGGCGUAACGAGGGCUUGACUGUCUCCUUUUCUCAGUCAAUGAAAUUGAUCUCCCCGUGCAGAAGCGGGGGUAAACACAUAAGACGAGAAGACCCUGUGGAGCUUUAGACGCUAGGGCAGACUAAUGUUAAAUUAUCCUCUCAAAGAAUAACACCUAAAACCCCUGCCCCCAUGUCUUGGUUGGGGCGACCAUGGAGUAAAGAGCAACCUCCACGUGGAAUAAGAGUACUACUCCCUAAAACUAGGGCCACCACCCUAUUUGUCAGAAUUUCUGGCCUUAUAGAUCCGGCUUAAGCCGAUUAACGAAUUGAGUUACCCCAGGGAUAACAGCGCAAUCUCCUUUAAAAGACCAUAUCUAAAAGGGGGUUUACGACCUCGAUGUUGGAUCAGGACAUCCUAUUGGUGCAGCCGCUAUUAAGGGUUCGUUUGUUCAACGAUUAAAGUCCUACGUGAUCUGA